rnacentral:RNase_P_RNA from 1 species
AUGGUCGAUCGGAUGGUUGCCCUCGCCGCAAGGCAGGGGAGGAAAGUCCGAACACCCCUCGAUAGUAAUGUCGAGGAAGUGGACAGUCGCUAACGGCGACCGGGAGUAAAGUGAUGGGGAUUUUUCCCGGGAUACGGGAAAAGGAUCUUUCGCUCCAAGCCCAGGGAAAGUGCAACAGAAAAUAUACCGCCACAAUCUUUCGAGAUGAAUCUACUUCGGUAGGUGGUAAGGUUGAAAUCGUGGGGUAAGAGCCCACGCGGGACAGCCGUGAGAGCGGCGCCGUGGAAAACCCUGUCCGGUGCAAGAGCAAAUUUGGUAGCUCGCUAGAGGUCGUGAGUAAUUACGAUCCCAGAUAGAUGACCGUCCGUUACAGCUCGGUUCGCUGAGUUGUAAUGACAGAAUUCGGCUUACAGAUCGAGCAUGCAU